rnacentral:misc_RNA from 1 species
GUGAAUCAUCAAAUUUUUGAACGCAAAUUGCACUCUCUUCGGAGAGUAUGCGUGUGUGAGGGUCAGCCUAAAAAAAAUCUAAGUAGUCGCUGUUUCGCGGUGACAUUCGUCGGAAAUGGGGUCAGCUUAAACCUUGGGGUUUUUUAAGCGGCGGAAAAGUUAUUUUACGAUUACACGAACGAUUCUAAGAUUUUACUUUUAACACAGGUUUAGGGUAUCGA